rnacentral:snoRNA from 1 species
AAAACUAUACUUUCAGGGAUCAUUUCUACAGGUCAUUACUAGAGAAGUUUUUAUGCACUGUGCAGAGCACCAGAAACCACAAGGAGUAGGCGCAGCAUUCUCCCCCGAGCUUGAAGCUGGCUCCUGGCGUUGCUUCGCUACAACUGCGAUUUGCCACGGAUGCUCUUUCUUCUCUUCCUCGGUAAGAGUAAGAGGGAGAAGAUGCAGACUGAGUGAG